AGAAACUAAAAUUAGCUGGGCUUGUCCCAAGCUUUUCCAGGUUUGCUUGCUUUUUUAAACAAAAUAUACAAAUUUCUCUAGGAGAAUCCCCACCUCUGUGACUCUUCCUGGGAUCUGACUCUGUGUGUCAAAAUGAGUGGAGAAGUGCUGGAAGUCUAAGCAGGGGAGCUGGUGGCUGACCUACGGCCAAGAAGGAGCCACUCGGACCUGAGCCUGGAUGGCUCCGGUGCUGUGCCAGGAGGGAUUGAACUCGGGACCUUGCGCUUGUGAGGCAGGCAACCGCCUGUGAGGCAGGCAACCGCACCGUUGAGCUAAAUCCCUGGCAAGCCAUUCAUUCUUAACAUGGGAGUGUGCUUUUGCCCUCCAGGGCACAUUUGGCAAUGUCUGCAGACAAUUUUUGGUUGUCACCAAGUGGGAGGCACUGUGUGUGCUGCUGGUAUCUCAUGGGUAGAGGCCCAACGAGCUGCUAAACAUCUUUUAGACCCUCAACAAAUAAUUAUCUGGCCCCAAAUAUUAAUGGUACCAAGGUGGGGAGAAAUUCUAGUGCAAACUGUAAAGUGCUAUGGGUAUGUUAGUAAUUGUAAGUCACUGCUCAGAACCACUGGGGGAGCUCCCAGGAGAUGGGUUUUUACUCUUUAGAGAGGAGAGAGGGCUUGUUUUUAGCUGGGGACUGGAAAGACAUUUCCUGGGGGCACAUCUUUGCUUGUGGGGCUGGCACUGUCCAUACCUGGAUGGGCAAGUGUGCCCCAAGUGCUGGGCCUUACUGCCUGCAGCUAAGGAAGUUACCCAGCUCUACUGGAGCUUGGCCUGAAAAUGCAUCCCUGUGGGACUCAGAGCCACUGAGCCUUCAGCAUGCGGCAGGCAGACUCUGCUCCUUGUGCCUCCUGAUGCUCAGACUUGUUCUGGAGACCCCGGCUCUGAGCCCAUGUAUUUAAGAGCCAGCUCCAGAGACUCCGGGCUCCCCCAAGUCCAAACUCAGCUCUGUGAUCCAGGCCCUGCUGGGGGCAGCCUGCAGGGGGGCAGAGGGAGGAGGUGGUGGUGCCCUGGUUUCUGUACACUCUGCCACUGCUCCUGAAGUGUUAAUCAAAUUAAGCCUCCAAGAAAACACAAAAGCUCCGCAGCCACUUUCGGCUGCCUUGGAGUCACUCGCUCUCAGAACAGCUGGGAGAAUUCCACAUCACCUCCAUCCCCCAAGCCCUGGGUGGCUCUGACCCCAACAAACACACUCCUUCCAGCCUGCAGGGCCCCGGCUGGCCACAAUGACCUCAUAGCAACAGCCAUUGGACACUGGGGGCAAUUUCAUGGGAGAUAUUUGUUCUUUGGUCUUGAUGCAGAGAGAAUUUUUCCUCUCCCAUGGUCUCCAUGGAAACCUCAACUACACUGUUGGCUAUCCCCCUUCCCACCUCAUGCUUUUCAGAUCAAUACUGGGGCUUGGCUCCCCACUGGUGGCCCACAGCUGCUGGGGGGCAGAGCUCUGGGCAGGAGGAGCUAGGGCCAGGGUUAAGCCUGGGGCAUGGGGAAGUGUCACUGAGGAGCAUUGGAGUCCCAGGUCCUCUUGCUCCCUAUUACCCCAGUUCACCACAGCUCAUCCCUUUAGCUCCCCUUUCCUCUGAAAGUGUCUGCCCCUUCUCAGGCAGCUUGCCGAGCGCAGACCAGUAAAGGAGAGAUAGGUCACCAGCAGAUACCACGCCGUUCCUCCUGGGCGAGACCCACAGAGGUGAUGGGGGCUGUUGUCCUCUUUGAAGGCUGUUAGUACUUUCUUCCUGCCCAGGGAAAACUAAGGUCGGGCCAGAGCCAGCCGCUGGCUCUCAGAGGCUCGGUGUCACGGUCCCUUCCCUCCUCCUGUGCCUGGCUCCCGCCCCCCCAAGCAGAAACAGGUCCCUGCACGCCUCCAGCCCAGCACGCAGCGCGGCGCAGCUCGGCGCAGGGAGCUCUCCCAGAC
ensembl:lncRNA